UGUAAACAUAUGGAGGAGGUGGUGAGGGGGAAGGUGGUGGUGGGGACUUGUAGACAUAUGGUGGUGGAGGUGAAGGAGAGGGAGGAGGUGGAGAGUUGUAGACAUAAGAAAGGGGUAGCGAUGCAUAUGGUGGUGGAGGAGAUUUGUAAACAUAUGGAGGCGGUGGUGAAGGAGAGGGAGGUGGAGGAGAUUUGUAGACAUACGGUGGAGGAGGUGAGGGAGAAGGAUGUGGUGGUGACUUGUGCACAUAAGGCGGAGGUGGUGAUGGGGAUGGUGGUGGUGGGGACUUGUAGAUGUAAGAAAGGGGUAGUGAUGCAGAUGGUGGAGGAGGAGACUUGUAGACAUAUGGAGGUGGUGGUGAAGGAGAGGGAGGUGGAGGAGAUUUGUAGACAUAUGGUGGAGGAAGUGAAGGAGAAGGAGGUGGUGGUGACUUGUAAAUAUAAGGUGGAGGUGGUGAUGGGGAUGGUGGUGGUGGGGACUUGUAGAUGUAAGAAAGGGGUAGUGAUGCAGAUGGUGGAGGAGGAGACUUAUAGACAUACUUAGGUUGUGGUGAUGGAGAGGGAG
rnacentral:lncRNA from 1 species